rnacentral:rRNA from 1 species
AUGGCGACGGCGGCUGCCAGUCGACCCAGCGGGCCGGUCCUCUCGAUACCCAGCUACCGCUCCGCCUCGCCCACCCGCGUCAAGCUCGCCUCCGGUGGCGCCACCCGCUCUCCGGCCAAGUCCGUCAGCGUCUCGUCUUCUUCCUCCUCGUCCCCUGCCGCCGGCAAGAGCCGUCGGUCCUGCAUGUGCUCCCCGACGAACCACCCGGGCUCGUUUCGCUGCGGCCUCCACAAGGAGCGCAAGCAGGCGGCCCCGACCGGCAACAGCAAGCCCGGCUCCCCGCCGUCCGUCGGCAGCGCCGGCUCGAAAUGCACGGCCAGCGCGCUGGUGCGGCUUGUCCCCAUGGAGAGCGGGCACUGGGCACGCAGGGCGCUCUCGCCGUCCCCCGCGGCUCAGCAGUCGCUGCAGCGGAGGCGCGCGGGCGGGUCCCGCCCCGGGCCGAGCCGGCUCUCCGCCGUGUCCGUGGCCGGCGACAACCAGUAA